CUUGCGGAAUGAAGAGAUCACUGGGAGAUUCCAAAAGUCUGAGAGCCUCGGUGUCUGCUUGCCCUUUCCUUAACAACCACUCUGACGCUGAUCCUUCUGAGGCUGUGCCUCAUUAGAGAGUGAGCCCACAGGAAGGUGAAGAUGCCGCUGCCUAGCAACACUGCCACAGGGAGGGUGAGCGCCAACCAGCUCCUGAACCCCUGGACUCGCCCACGCACGGCCCCCAUGGCCCGCCCAAGACUACAGGCAGGGCGUCCUGUGUGGGCCAGGAACAGAAGGGUCAGGACGGACCUCUACAGAGAGCUGGCCACUCAUAGGACCAGUAAUCGUGAGGAGACGACAUGUGGAAGGAAGCAGGAAGAAGAAUGAACCAGGUGUGGGGAAUGCGGACAGCCAGGGAAAUGAUUCUGAGAUCUACUGAGAACAAUGUACACAUUUUCAACUACAACACUAAGAGAAAUAAACCUAAGAGCAGCAAUCAAAGUACUGUUCUCAGGAAUCAAGGGAUCUUAGAAGAACAGACACAAAAGCCACCCUUAGGAGCAGUUACUCUUGGCCUUCGGCCCAGCAUGCCAGAGCAGACCAGCAGCAGCCUGCAAGGCUCUAGGCAGCAGAGGAGCCCUGCAGCAGCUUGUGACCCUCUGGUGACCCACUGCUUCUGUCCAGCACUCCAGAAGAGCCCAGCUGUGCAGGCGCCAACACAACAGUGUCUGUGUCCUCCCCUCCCCGUGAACAAGAGAAAGAGGGCCUCUCUGAGGCUCCCAGAUGAAAAUUGAAGCCCACAUGAAAAAUGAAGAAAAUCUGCGAUAAGGACACACCACACCACCAUAGUCGGAAAGUCG
rnacentral:lncRNA from 1 species